CUCUUGCUGGUCUAGUGGCUGGGAUUCCUGGUUUUCAUCCAGACCACCCAGGUUCGAUUCCUGGGCAGGGAA
rnacentral:tRNA from 1 species